rnacentral:rRNA from 1 species
GUGCUUGAGUAACCAAAAAUAUUAGGAAAGAAAUCGUUAAGGGCGUAUGGCGGAUGCCUAGGCUUUCAGAGGCGAGGAAGGACGUGGUAAGCUGCGAAAAGCUACGGGGAUUGGCACACACGAAUAGAUCCGUAGAUAUCCGAAUGGGGCAACCCAAUACAUUGAAGAUGUAUUACUGCGUAAGCAGAGCAAACCCGGAGAACUGAAACAUCUAAGUACCCGGAGGAAAAGAAAUCGAAGAGAUUCCGUAAGUAGUGGCGAGCGAAAGCGGAUUAGCCCAAAAGCUUUUAUAUGUUUAAUAGAACACUUUGGAAAGAGUGGCCAUAGAGGGUGAUAGCCCCGUACAUGAAAGGCAUACAUAAGUGAUACAAGAGUAGGGCGGGACACGUGAAAUCCUGUCUGAAUAUGGGGGGGACCAUCCUCCAAGGCUAAAUACUCCUGAAAGACCGAUAGUGGACAAGUACUGUGAGGGAAAGGCGAAAA